GUGUGUUUCACGUUAGUAAUACAAUAAUGUAGGAAUUGGGCAUGUUUCUUCUUCAAGUAACGUAGACAGGAUGCUUUCGUUGAUGUGGAAUAGAGCUCUGAAUAUUGGAAAAUCAAAUAUUGUCUAAUCAUUUGAUUUACAUACACUGGUCUGUAAGCAGCUGUAUAUUUUUUAAGAUGGUAGCGUUCUAAUGGUGGAACAUUAAAG